GGCGGGGUAGCUCAGUUGGUUAGAGCAGAGGAAUCAUAAUCCUUGUGUCGGGAGUUCAAAUCUCUCCCUCGCUA
rnacentral:tRNA from 2 species